UACGGAGGAUCCAAGCGUUAUCCGGAUUUAUUGGGUUUAAAGGGUGCGUAGGCGGAUAAAUAAGUCAGUGGUGAAAGCCUGCAGCUUAACUGUAGAAUUGCCAUUGAUACUGUUUGUCUUGAGUACAGUUGAGGUGGGCGGAAUAUGGCAUGUAGCGGUGAAAUGCUUAGAUAUGCCAUAGAACACCGAUUGCGAAGGCAGCUCACUAAACUGUCACUGACGCUGAGGCACGAAAGCGUGGGUAGCAAACAGG
rnacentral:rRNA from 1 species